GAUGAACGCUAGCUACAGGCUUAACACAUGCAAGUCGAGGGGCAGCACAGUGUAGCAAUACAUGGGUGGCGACCGGCGCACGGGUGCGUAACGCGUAUCCAACCUUCCCGUUACUCUUGGAUAGCCUUCCGAAAGGGAGAUUAAUACAAGAUGGUAUUCAAAUUCCGCAUGUUAUUUGAAUUAAAGAUUUAUCGGUAACGGAUGGGGAUGCGUGACAUUAGAUAGUAGGCGGGGUAACGGCCCACCUAGUCUACGAUGUCUAGGGGUUCUGAGAGGAAGGUCCCCCCACACUGGAACUGAGACACGGUCCAGACUCCUACGGGAGGCAGCAGUGAGGAAUAUUGGUCAAUGGUCUAACGACUGAACCAGCCAUGCCGCGUGAAGGUCACGGCCCUAUGGGUCUUAAACUUCUUUUGUAAGGGAGCAAUAAGGUGCACGUGUGCAUCGAUGAGAGUACCUUACGAAUAAGCAUCGGCUAACUCCGUGCCAGCAGCCG
rnacentral:rRNA from 1 species